rnacentral:lncRNA from 1 species
CACCAAAAUCAUUUUUUUCUGAGAAGAAAAACCAAACACAAACAGUUGCUUCCGACCUCCUAUUUUUCAUGUACAGAGCAUUAGGCUAAUAUGUGAAUCUACACUCAGAAACUACCAUGAAAGACAAAGCAUUGGGCUAAUCAUAUGGGAAUUUACAUCGACUGGUCCGCUGCAAAACUAAAAACAAAAGUUGGUUCAAUUGGUCAAUUAAUCGAGAAGGAUCAUAUGGUGUUAGCGUAUGCACCUUCGAAUUUGGAUUAGCCAUACCUUGUGUUGGGGGCAAGAUAUUAGCUUGGUUCUGGUUGUGGUGCGCCGCCUUUUUGAAGAAGCCGCCGGUGGGGUUGGUGGCUGUUGUGCCGGAGUGGGCCUUCUUCUCUGGAGGAAGGAGUUGACGGCUGAUUGUUGCUUGACAACUAAAUCCGUUUUCUAGUUGCUAACAAAAAACUUAAUCCGUCCUCUUCCCGUAUGAGAUGAUGAUGAUUUGAGACAUGCC